rnacentral:rRNA from 1 species
AUGGUUGAAGAACCACUCAAAAUCUAUCACACUCCUGAAGCUUAUUACUUGGAUCAUCUUCGAUCCCUAUGUGCUUGUGCUGAAACCCCAACUAGCUUAGUUGAGGGCAAAUCUUUAGAUGAGCAUGCUUGUGAUGUGAGACACCGCAUAUCCGAAAAAAGGAAACGUUUACUGGAUCAAAUUCAUCGUUUGCAAUGCUAUGCUUGGAAUUUAUGCGAAAUAUAUGAUAUUACUUGUUGUUCUGAAGACCCUAAGAAACACCUUCCCUACCAAUGUUUGUUUAGUGAUAAUGGAAUCGUAUCUUCUUAUGCUAAGGGUGUUUAUAAUUACUAUGAUGUUCAACAAAUUGAAGAAUUUGUUGCUUUUAAGGGUGCUUAUGAAAUUGCUUCUUUGAUUGAAACGUAUGAUGCUACUCUUUACAAAUCUGAAAUUUUUUCCAUACUUGAAUAUUGUUAUGAGAAUUAUGCUUCUAAUGCCUAUGUUAAACCAUAUAUCGAGGUCUCCUCCGCUGUCCAAGAAGAGACUAAUAUUUUGCAGGAGUCUAUGGAAGAAGAAAUUGAUGAAACUGUGAGCUCAUUGGAUGAAAAAGAUGAGGAGGAGAGCUAA